rnacentral:lncRNA from 13 species
UUUAAGCAAAAAUACAUCAUCAUGGCGAUAUGCAGGUAGGCCACAGAAACAAAGGAAAAGCAGAAAAUAUAGGCUUAGAAAGGACAGAAACCAGAGCAGAGCCUGGGGUCCAGGCAGAAGGAACCAAUGGAUAAUCUCUUCAGGAUACUGCAGCCUCCAUUGACCUCCGGCCAUUCUCAAGAACAUUCAAGACUGAACUUCCGGUGUUGUGUUUCCAGCCUGGCUUAGAUUUGGUUAAAAGAACCACCAUGAUGGUAUCCAACAGGAAGUGGCGGUAGUUCCCCAAAGCCAAAGGAGGAGCUAUUACUAGAAAAAGGGGGAAUGGAAGCUGAGCAGGCAAAAAGGACAGAUGUCCAUGACCGUGAAGGGCACAGUUGUUUAAGUGCUAGGCAUGGUAGCGUGAGGAGCCAAUAUUGACUCCUGAGUCAUUUGCUCAUUCUCUCAACAAAUCCUGACUGAAUUUAGUCAUGCCAUUUUGGAGGACACCAAAGAAAUAUAAUAAUGACCUAUAAGACUGGUGGGAACGGGUGCCUGGAUUUUACUCAGGAAGACCUGGGAACAAGAUUGUAUUCCCUUUUAAUUGGAAUCAUUAAAAUAUAUUCAGGCAUAUGUAACUGCAGCUCAUUAUAGGGAGAUGUUAAGUAAUUCUCUAAUUAUAUGUAUUACACUGUAAGCAGAGGAUCCUCAGAGAAGUGACUUAUCUCACAUGUCAAGGGGCAGAGCUAAAAGAAGGACUUGACUUCCUGACUUGAAUAACUGUUCUGAACCAGCUGCCUAGCAACCGUGGCCUCAGUUCAGGAGCAGCUACCAUGUGAGGAGCCUCAGUGCCCGGCUGCUCCACUAAGCUGUGAAUUUCUCACGGGCAGAAACAGGGUCCUGUUCCUCUGCAUUCCCCCCAGGGCCUUGCCUGGCAUCGGACGCACAGAUCAGGAUGUUCAGUAAGGAGGUGUCCGUCCCAUCACGUGGCCUUGAGGAAAGAGCAGAAGUGCAGGAAGGACAAACCCACACCUGUGGGUGGGAUCUGCAGCCAGCCUGGGGUGAGUGAUUCCGGGGCUUUUGAGGGACAGGACUGUGGAUACCCCGUGGUGAAGGGUGCGUGCAGGAACGUAAGGAGAACUGAAUAGCACUAGGAAGGACUUGUGUGCCGCUGAUUUAGCAUUUCUCUGAAGCUGAACCUGCUGACACUCCUGUCACCUAAUAAUUAACAUUCUGUGAGGAGAGAGCUUUUGUUUAAGGCUUUUUCCUUUAGGACAAUUGUUGGGAGGUUUGGAGAAAGGAAGCAUUUUUUAGCGGGGAUGAACCCACAGCAGUGAGAGCUUUGGAAAGAAGGGCAAUGCCGGACUACCUAUUUUUUUGUAUAGUGUUUUGUUGAUUGAAUACAAACCUUUGGGCUGGGUGCCGUGGCUCACAUUUGUAAUCCCCGCACUUUGGGAGGCUGAGGUGGGUGGAUUACCUGAGGUCAGUAGUUCAAGACCAGCCUGACCAACAUGGUGAAACCUCGUCUUUACUAAAAAUACAAAAACAUUAGCCAGGCGUGGUGUCAGGUGCCUGUAAUCCCAGCUACUUGGGAGGCUGAGGCAGGAAAAUCACUUGAAGCCAGGAGGCGGAGGUUGCGGUGAGCCGAGAUUGUACCACUGCACUCCAGCCUGGGCAACAGAGCAAGACUCCUUCCCUAAAACAAACGAACAAACAAACAAAAAACCAAAAGCCUUUGCCAGAGCCUGAUUCCAAUUUAUCUUUGUUACAUUAGAGGACAAUUAGCUCCUAUGCUAUGACAAAAGGAAGAAAACUAAACCCAAAACUUGCUCCAAAGUUUAUCAAUGAGACUAUGUUCCUUUAGUUCCUUUGGUCCCAUGUGAGUUGGUGGACACCAAAUGUGCCUGUGAAAACUCUUUAGUAUAGUGUCCAGAGCCCUGCUUGUAGCCGACAGGCCGCUGAGAUGAUUAAAACAUACCCAAGGGCUGCAGACAAUUAAAAUAAUGAUGUGCAGCUUCACAAAUUGGCAUGAGUGACUUGGGUGAUACCAAAGAGGAAAGGAGGAUUUUCAAUCUCCACUAAAUCAGCUUUAAUGAGGAUGCUCAUUGCUUCUCCUGCCAUUCUUUCUAGUUCUAAAAUAAAGCUACCAAGCAAGAUCUAUUGAUGUCCCCA